rnacentral:lncRNA from 1 species
UUUUAAUAUCAUUGAAAGAAAAAAUCCGUUAUAUUGACACCCCACCAACUUUAAGACACUAUUUUCAAAAAUGUUGCAAUGUGUACCUUAAAAUAGAUGAAAUGUAGCAACUAGACACCACAGAUCCUGUCCCUCAUGCACAAGAUGAAGCAACUAUCCUCGCUUCCCAAAGACCUGAGGUUUCCUCUGGACAGCUGGCACCAGACAGCCUCUGAUCUUAAAGGUGGGAGCACAGCUGAGGGAAGCUCCCAGCAAGAUCCUGGCGACAUGGUCAGCAUUCCACAUUCUUCUUAUUAAAUGACUUGUAGCCGCCACACACUGUAUAUCAUCCAGCACCUGAACUCUUUCCAAACACAGUUGAUAUCAAACACUUGUUGACGCACGAUUCAGGGGAGGCAGCCACAAAAAUAUAUGAAGCCAAUCCACAGAAAAGGGACUGAAAGAGGGAACAACUCUUGAGAGCCUUCCUGGGAAGCCUUUGGGGUCGCUCCAUUCCGUGCUGUGGAUCAUUCCGGGAUUCCGUUCCUGCUGGCCGUUUCGCAGAAAAGUGAGCCCAGCUGAGCCGUUUCACAGCUUGCACUGUGGGGCGUGAGCCGGUGGAAAUUCAACUAGGGAAUAGACUGCAAAAGGUCUUGGGGCAGCCAAGAGUCGAAAGCUCCAUGAAGACAGAAAGACGGUAACUACGAUGACUGCUCUUCACUGGAUCCUCAGCCCCUUCCACAGAGCCUGUAACGGGACAAGGAUCUACUAAGUCUUUGUUUUUGAAUCAUUUGCUUGUGGGGGAAGCCAGCUGCCAUGUUGUGAAGACAUUCAAGCAGCCUUUAUGAAGUGGUUCACAUGGCAGAGAACUGAGGGCUCCUGCCGGCAGCCAGCGUCAACUUUCUGGCCAUGUGGCUGAGCCAUCUUGGAAGCAGAUCCUUCAGCCUGGUGAGGCUUUGGGAGGACUCCAGCCCUGGCCAACAGCUUGACUGCAACUGUAUGAGAGACCCCAAGACAGAACCACCCAGCUAAGCUGCUCCCGAAUACAUGACCCACAUAAAUUGUAUGAGAUGAUAAAUGCUUGUUGUUGUUUU